UACAGAGGUCCCAAGCGUUGUUCGGAAUCACUGGGCGUAAAGGGCGCGUAGGCGGCCCUCCUUGUCGCGUGUGAAAGCCCCGGGCUCAACCUGGGAACGGCGCGCGAGACGGGGGGGCUGGAGUUCGGGAGAGGAGCGUGGAAUUCCCAGUGUAGAGGUGAAAUUCGUAGAUAUUGGGAAGAACACCGGUGGAGAAGGCGGCGCUCUGGACCGAGACUGACGCUGAGGCGCGAAAGCGUGGGGAGCAAACAGG
rnacentral:rRNA from 1 species